rnacentral:lncRNA from 1 species
AUGAUCAGAGGGGAGGGAGCAGGCGGCACCGGGCCGGGCGGCCGGGAGCCGCCUCUAGGGGGGGUUCUCGGGGCCGCCUCGCCCCCCGCCCGGCCCCUCCGUGCCCGGAGAGCGGCCCCGGCCCCGGCGAGAUGGCAGCUGGGCGCUGCCGGCGCUCGCCCCCACCUGAUGGCUCUCCCCGUCACCCACCCUUCCCGGACCCGCAGCACGUCGCAGGUCACGCUCUCCCGCCGCUGUGUCUUCUGCCGGGAUCCAGAAGCACGGACACAGCCGACUCCUAACCCGGCGUUUCUCCGGAGCAGCGGGGGUGUUGUGAACACUUAUUAAACCCAGAUGAUCCGAGAGUUGGGGCAUACGGAAAAGAUUUCCAAUUAAAGCCGAGAGCAGCCAGCUUCGCGUCGCAGGUGUAAACAAUAUUUGUGCAGCUCUCGCCCCCCAUCCCGUAGCGGAUCCUUCCCCCCGCUGGAUCCCGCAGGGAGGAGAGGGAAAGGGACCGCUUCUCGUUCCGGGCCCCACUCGCCCCUGGCCGGGCUCCCCACAUCGCUCGGUGCGCAUUCGGGCGGCUCUGUGCCUGCAGCCCCUGGCCCCGAACAUCCACCCCUCCGCUCACCUGUUGCUGCAGCCGCUUCCGUAAAGGCAGGGACUAAAAGGAGAAUACAAUAGCUCCGGUCUCGGAAAGCGGCGGCGGUGUAAAGCGUUGCGGUGACACGGGAGGUGGGGUGGGACGGCACGCGGGGACAGUGGGCAUCACCGCGGGCUGCUGGGUACGCGCUCCCGCUUGGAAAAGUGCUUUCUUACAACUUUGAUGCCGGAUUUAGAGGAAUCUGGGAGCUCAAAUGCAGCUGGGAGUAUGUUUCCCAGUUCGCCGAGAGCGUUCGGGUUCACGAAGCACCUCGGAGGCCGUGGGAGCGGACCCCGAACAGCUCCUGCCUCGUUAGCGAGACCGGGCACGCUCGCUUCGGAAGUUCCAGUUUAAAUAACGGAGAAAGCACUCACGUAUGCUUAAUUCACGCUUUCUUUAAAUACCAUUAUGACAAUUGUCUCGAUCCGAGGUCAGGGAAAAAUCCUGUUCGGUGGAGACAAGAGGCCGACAGAGUGGCAGGGUGGCUUUGGGAGCGAAUCGGUGGAAGCGCCGUGCGGGCAGCUCACCUCCCGCAAAGCAAGGGCGCGGUUGGUGCCCGCCGCUCUUGGAGCCGCUCGCCCUGCCCCGGGGCAGGUUAUGGGAGGCACAGACCGCACAGCCCCUGACCGUCCAUCCCCGGCAGCGAAGUGAGCAGAGCGGAUUGCGAAAGACCGCGCGCACUGGGAUGUGGAGGGGGGUCGAGAG